UAGAAAGUAUUUUGAUCUUGAUGUAGCAAUUGUAACGGCCCCGGAAUUUUAAAAUAAAAUAUGUGAAUUAAAAAGGUCAAAUGCGGAAGCGUAAUAAAAAUUUUGAUUAACAUCCCUUACACCAAAACAAAAAACGUGCUCAAAGUAUAAAAGAACAAACUAACUAAAAGAGAAACUCGAAAAUAAAAGCUAUAAAUAUAACUACGGAGUCUUCAGGCGUCCCCUUCGUUGUCUUCCUACGGAACGGGCUCGUGAACAAUGUCUUCCUGAUCUGAAAUGAUUAAAUAAGAAAUGAGCUACACCAGCCCAGUAAAGACAUCACACUAUCUCACCGUCACGGAGGUAAAGGUGGGUAGAAAACACAAAAAGACCAAUGGAGCAUAAUUUACAACAAAUUCUUUUAUCAAUAAUAAAAUCCUUUACUAUCCACU
rnacentral:lncRNA from 1 species